rnacentral:rRNA from 1 species
ACAUGCAAGUCGAACGGCAGCGCGGGAGCAAUCCUGGCGGCGAGUGGCGAACGGGUGAGUAAUACAUCGGAACGUGCCCAAUCGUGGGGGAUAACGCAGCGAAAGCUGUGCUAAUACCGCAUACGAUCUACGGAUGAAAGCAGGGGAUCGCAAGACCUUGCGCGAAUGGAGCGGCCGAUGGCAGAUUAGGUAGUUGGUGAGGUAAAGGCUCACCAAGCCUUCGAUCUGUAGCUGGUCUGAGAGGACGACCAGCCACACUGGGACUGAGACACGGCCCAGACUCCUACGGGAGGCAGCAGUGGGGAAUUUUGGACAAUGGGCGCAAGCCUGAUCCAGCCAUGCCGCGUGCAGGAUGAAGGCCUUCGGGUUGUAAACUGCUUUUGUACGGAACGAAACGGCCUUUUCUAAUAAAGAGGGCUCAUGACGGUACCGUAAGAAUAAGCACCGGCUAACUACGUGCCAGCAGCCGCGGUAAUACGUAGGGUGCAAGCGUUAAUCGGAAUUACUGGGCGUAAAGCGUGCGC